rnacentral:tRNA from 3 species
GCGGGUGUAGCUCAGGGGCUAGAGCAUCUGCUUGCCAUGCAGAAGGUCGUGGGUUCGAAUCCCAUCACCCGCUCCA